rnacentral:rRNA from 1 species
UUUUUGGAGAGUUUGAUCCUGGCUCAGGACGAACGCUGGCGGCGUGCCUAAUACAUGCAAGUCGAGCGGACCAAUAGAAGCUUGCUUCUGUUGGUUAGCGGCGGACGGGUGAGUAACACGUGGGCAACCUGCCUGUAAGACUGGGAUAACUUCGGGAAACCGGAGCUAAUACCGGAUAAUUCAUCCCCUCGCAUGAGGGGAUGCUGAAAGUCGGUUUACGCUGACACUUACAGAUGGGCCCGCGGCGCAUUAGCUAGUUGGUGAGGUAAUGGCUCACCAAGGCGACGAUGCGUAGCCGACCUGAGAGGGUGAUCGGCCACACUGGGACUGAGACACGGCCCAGA